AGCUUUGCGCAGUGGCAAUAUCAUAACCAAUGAGGGUCUCCCCGAGGUGUGAUUAUUGCUAGUUGAAAACUUUAACCAAUACCCCGCCACGAUGAAGUGAAACAUUCUUUGUUGUCGGCAAUUUUUGACAGCUCCAGCAGGAG
rnacentral:snRNA from 1 species